rnacentral:lncRNA from 1 species
UCCCGGGGAAUGCAACAGCUGAUUCACCUGCUCCACGCUGAUUAAUAAUCAAACUACCAUUGUGUGGGGCCUAUCUUCCUACUGGACCUCAAAACCCACCUACUCCACAAGUUUAUCUUCACAAUUAUGAGCUACCUGCUUCACGUCACACUACAGCACCUAAAAGCAAAUAAUAAAGUUUAUUCUUGAGUUAACCUGCCUCUGUGUUCAGCCAAUCCCUCCUGCACGUGAGUGAUGCACCUGGAUGCUGCAUAAGGAGAGAUGGAAAUACCUAAGGUGUGGUCCUUACUUCCAAGGGGCUUAUAGCAGAACGAAGACUCGAAAGCAAGCACACCCACAACCACAACACAGCCGCUGGCACACACAGCAGGAAAGACACCGGGUUUAAUGGAGCAGAGAAAGGGGGCGUCAUCUCCAGGCACAGCUCCAUGAAGAAGAUGACAUUGACCUGGGAGCUCUGAGCCUUCAUAUAAUGAGUAAGCUUUCAGCUGGAAGAAAUCCCAAGUGGAGAAACAGGAAGCUAUAAAAGAGCAAUGGUUUUGGAUUCACAAAACCUGCCUGAGUGAACCUGGUUGCCAUUCUAGCACAGAGAUCCUGUCUCAAAAAAAAAAAAAAAAGAGGCCUGAGAGAACGUGUUUAUGUCUUUUCCCAUGUGAAGACACAGCUAGAAAGCACCAUCCUUGAAACUGAGAGCAAGCCCUCAUCAGUCAGUGAAUCUGCUGAUGCCAUGUUCUUGGAAUUCCCAGCUUCCAGAACUGUGAGCAAUAAAUGUACAUAGAUUGCAAAUUGGGAUCAUGGCUGUCUACAAGUGGCACCCCAAACAGCAACACAAUCAGGCGCACAACAAGUGGCGUCUGAACACAGGACUUCAAGGAUGUGAGCGAAGAAGGUCUGCUGGAGCAGAGGAACUGAAAUUGACAAGGCAAACACGGACCC